GAUGAAGAACGUAGCGAAAUGCGAUACUUGGUGUGAAUUGCAGAAUCCCGUGAACCAUCGAGUCUUUGAACGCAAGUUGCCCCCGAAGCCAUUAGGCCGAGGGCACGCCUGCCUGGGCGUCACACGUCGUUGCCCCCCCAUCUACUCCUUCGGGAUUGCGGGGGGCGGAUGAUGGCCUCCCGUGCGCCUCGUCGCGCGGUUGGCAUAAAUGCCAAGUCCUCGGCGACGCACGCCACGACAAUCGGUGGUUGCGAAACCUCGGUUGCCCGUCGUGUGCGGUCGUCGCGCAUCGAGGGCUCGAAAAAAUUGCCGGGCUCCGGCUCGACUUUCAACGCGACCCCAGGUCAGGCGGGGUUACCCGCUGAAUUUAAGCAUAUCAAUAAGCGGAGGA
rnacentral:misc_RNA from 1 species